ensembl:lncRNA
GAGGGAAGAGAGCAGAGAGGCAGACGGAGGCAGGGGGGGACAGAUGGGCCAGAAGAAGACGGGGAAAAAGUCAAAGAACUGGUGGGAUUAGGAGGAAAUAACACAUCAGGCACCCUGGGAGGGAGACACACGAGCAGGGAUGGAGGGAGAGAGGGAGGAACGGGCAGAGAGCACUGAAUGUGGGACGAUUUCUACCCAGGCUGAGACACCGAGUCAGAACUGCAGCGAGGAGUGCAACGAGUCUCAAAACCUCCUGGAAUCUGAGGAGGACCAGGCGGACAGUGGAGCCUGUGAUGGAGAGGUAGAGCCCAGCCAGGCUGAAGAGGACCCGUCUCUAAGUGGUGCAGAGACGUUACCACCGGAGACUCUGAUAGAGACAAACACACAGGACGAUGCUGACUGCUUCCCAUUGUCCCCCCUGCCAACAGAGGAAGAGCCGACCCUCCCUUCAGUGUCAUCUCAUCCCUCCAACACACAGAAUCAUCCAUCUGAAGCCUGCUGGUACUGUAUGAGGUCUCUCGACUCAGACUAUCGUCCUGAAGCCACUACACAGGAAGACUCAGAUCCUUCAUCACCACUGCCCUCUAGUGGCCAGAAAGUGAGCUACCAGACAGACCCUCGACCCCACUUUGGGGUAGCCUGGUCCUCUCACUCCACAUGUCGCCCCCUGUGGGGCAGUGAGGGGCCCUGCUGGGGACAAAGGAACCAGGAAUCCCCCGAUCAGACCGACACCUGUCCCCACUGCCAUCUGGAUUUGCCCCUUGACACAUUGCGCUGGCAUGAGGCAAAGUGUCUGCUGUUUGAAGGACUGAGGAACUCAAAGAAAUGAAAUGAGAAAAUGAGUUCUUUUUUUAAAUCUACUGUCCUUUUUAGGAAAUUCUCAGGAAAUUCUCAGCACCUUAUGGUUCAGUGCUAUAUCUGCUUGUACUAGUAAACAACUGUUUGCUUUGUCAAGUCGAUUCCCUCUUUCUCUUUAACUUAAUGUUGAAUUUCUGUGAUGAAACUCUUUCUUUCUCUUGAAAGUGAAAGCUAUAGGCAG